rnacentral:rRNA from 1 species
AUUGAACGCUGGCGGCAUGCCUUACACAUGCAAGUCGAACGGUAACGGGCCUUCGGGUGCCGACGAGUGGCGAACGGGUGAGUAAUAUAUCGGAACGUACCUUUCAGUGGGGGAUAACGUAGCGAAAGUUACGCUAAUACCGCAUAUUCUGUGCGCAGGAAAGCAGGGGACCUUCGGGCCUUGCGCUGAUUGAGCGGCCGAUAUCAGAUUAGCUAGUUAGUGAGGUAAAGGCUCACCAAGGCGACGAUCUGUAGCGGGUCUGAGAGGAUGAUCCGCCACACUGGAACGGAGACACGGUCCAGACUCCUACGGGAGGCAGCAGUGGGGAAUUUUGGACAAUGGGGGCAACCCUGAUCCAGCCAUGCCGCGUGAGUGAAGAAGGCCUUCGGGUUGUAAAGCUCUUUCGGCCGGGAAGAAAUCGUAUGGGCUAAUACCCUGUGCGGAUGACGGUACCGGCAUAAGAAGCACCGGCUAACUACGUGCCAGCAGCCGCAGUAAAAC